ACGGAGCUGAUGUUAUGCGUC
rnacentral:siRNA from 1 species